GAAACGACUGCUAAUACCGCAUAAGCCCACAGCUCGGCAUCGAGCAGAGGGAAAAGGAGCAAUCCGCUUUGAGAUGGCCUCGCGUCCGAUUAGCUAGUUGGUGAGGUAACGGCCCACCAAGGCAACGAUCGGUAGCCGGACUGAGAGGUUGAACGGCCACAUUGGGACUGAGACACGGCCCAGACUCCUACGGGAGGCAGCAGUGGGGAAUAUUGCACAAUGGGGGAAACCCUGAUGCAGCGACGCCGCGUGGAGGAAGAAGGUCUUCGGAUUGUAAACUCCUGUUGUUGAGGAAGAUAAUGACGGUACUCAACAAGGAAGUGACGGCUAACUACGUGCCAGCAGCCGCGGUAAAACGUAGGUCACAAGCGUUGUCCGGAAUUACUGGGUGUAAAGGGAGCGCAGGCGGGAGAACAAGUUGGAAGUGAAAUCCAUGGGCUCAACCCAUGAACUGCUUUCAAAACUGUUUUUCUUGAGUAGUGCAGAGGUAGGCGGAAUUCCCGGUGUAGCGGUGGAAUGCGUAGAUAUCGGGAGGAACACCAGUGGCGAAGGCGGCCUACUGGGCACCAACUGACGCUGAGGCUCGAAAGUGUGGGUAGCAAACAGGAUUAGAUACCCUGGUAGUCCACACCGUAAACGAUGAUUACUAGGUGUUGGAGGAUUGACCCCUUCAGUG
rnacentral:rRNA from 1 species